GACGAACGCUGGCGGCGUGCUUAACACAUGCAAGUCGAACGGAAAGGCCCUGCUUUUGUGGGGUGCUCGAGUGGCGAACGGGUGAGUAACACGUGAGUAACCUGCCCUUGACUUUGGGAUAACUUCAGGAAACUGGGGCUCAUACCGGAUAGGAGCUCCUGCUGCAUGGUGGGGGUUGGAAAGUUUCGGCGGUUGGGGAUGGACUCGCGGCUUAUCAGCUUGUUGGUGGGGUAGUGACUUACCAAGCCUUUGACGGGUAGCCGGCCUGAGAGGGUGACCGGGCACAAUGGGACUGCGAUACGGCCCAGACUCCUACGGGACGCAGCAGGGGGGAAUAUUGCACAACGGGCGGAAGCCUGAGGCAGCAACGCCGCGUGCGGGAUGCCCGCCUUCGGGUGGUAAACCUCUUUCGCCUUUGACGAAGCGUGAUUGACGGUAAUGGGUAAAAAAGCACCGGCUAACUACGUG
rnacentral:rRNA from 1 species